GACGAACGCUGGCGGCGUGCCUAAUACAUGCAAGUCGAACGAACUCUGGUAUUGAUUGGUGCUUGCAUCAUGAUUUACAUUUGAGUGAGUGGCGAACUGGUGAGUAACACGUGGGAAACCUGCCCAGAAGCGGGGGAUAACACCUGGAAACAGAUGCUAAUACCGCAUAACAACUUGGACCGCAUGGUCCGAGCUUGAAAGAUGGCUUCGGCUAUCACUUUUGGAUGGUCCCGCGGCGUAUUAGCUAGAUGGUGGGGUAACGGCUCACCAUGGCAAUGAUACGUAGCCGACCUGAGAGGGUAAUCGGCCACAUUGGGACUGAGACACGGCCCAAACUCCUACGGGAGGCAGCAGUAGGGAAUCUUCCACAAUGGACGAAAGUCUGAUGGAGCAACGCCGCGUGAGUGAAGAAGGGUUUCGGCUCGUAAAACUCUGUUGUUAAAGAAGAACAUAUCUGAGAGUAACUGUUCAGGUAUUGACGGUAUUUAACCAGAAAGCCACGGCUAACUACGUGCCAGCAGCCGCGGUAAUACGUAGGUGGCAAGCGUUGUCCGGAUUUAUUGGGCGUAAAGCGAGCGCAGGCGGUUUUUUAAGUCUGAUGUGAAAGCCUUCGGCUCAACCGAAGAAGUGCAUCGGAAACUGGGAAACUUGAGUGCAGAAGAGGACAGUGGAACUCCAUGUGUAGCGGUGAAAUGCGUAGAUAUAUGGAAGAACACCAGUGGCGAAGGCGGCUGUCUGGUCUGUAACUGACGCUGAGGCUCGAAAGUAUGGGUAGCAAACAGGAUUAGAUACCCUGGUAGUCCAUACCGUAAAGAUGAUGCUAGUGUUGGAGGGUUUCCGCCCUUCAGUGCUGCAGCUAACGCAUUAAGCAUUCCGCCUGGGGAGUACGGCCGCAAGGCUGAAACUCAAAGGAAUUGACGGGGGCCCGCACAAGCGGUGGAGCAUGUGGUUUAAUUCGAAGCUACGCGAAGAACCUUACCAGGUCUUGACAUACUAUGCAAAUCUAAGAGAUUAGACGUUCCCUUCGGGGACAUGGAUACAGGUGGUGCAUGGUUGUCGUCAGCUCGUGUCGUGAGAUGUUGGGUUAAGUCCCGCAACGAGCGCAACCCUUAUUAUCAGUUGCCAGCAUUAAGUUGGGCACUCUGGUGAGACUGCCGGUGACAAACCGGAGGAAGGUGGGGAUGACGUCAAAUCAUCAUGCCCCUUAUGACCUGGGCUACACACGUGCUACAAUGGAUGGUACAACGAGUUGCGAACUCGCGAGAGUAAGCUAAUCUCUUAAAGCCAUUCUCAGUUCGGAUUGUAGGCUGCAACUCGCCUACAUGAAGUCGGAAUCGCUAGUAAUCGCGGAUCAGCAUGCCGCGGUGAAUACGUUCCCGGGCCUUGUACACACCGCCCGUCACACCAUGAGAGUUUGUAACACCCAAAGUCGGUGGGGUAACCUUUUAGGAACCAGCCGCCUAAGGUGGGACAGAUGAUUAGGGUGAAG
rnacentral:rRNA from 1 species